GACGAACGCUGGCGGCGUGCCUAAUACAUGCAAGUAGAACGCACAGUUUAUACCGUAGCUUGCUACACCAUAGACUGUGAGUUGCGAACGGGUGAGUAACGCGUAGGUAACCUGCCUGGUAGCGGGGGAUAACUAUUGGAAACGAUAGCUAAUACCGCAUAAUAUUAAUUAUUGCAUGAUAAUUGAUUGAAAGGUGCAAAUGCAUCACUACCAGAUGGACCUGCGUUGUAUUAGCUAGUAGGUGAGGUAACGGCUCACCUAGGCGACGAUACAUAGCCGACCUGAGAGGGUGAUCGGCCACACUGGGACUGAGACACGGCCCAGACUCCUACGGGAGGCAGCAGUAGGGAAUCUUCGGCAAUGGACGAAAGUCUGACCGAGCAACGCCGCGUGAGUGAAGAAGGUUUUCGGAUCGUAAAGCUCUGUUGUAAGAGAAGAACGGGUGUGAGAGUGGAAAGUUCACACUGUGACGGUAUCUUACCAGAAAGGGACGGCUAACUACGUGCCAGCAGCCGCGGUAAUACGUAGGUCCCGAGCGUUGUCCGGAUUUAUUGGGCGUAAAGCGAGCGCAGGCGGUUAGAUAAGUCUGAAGUUAAAGGCUGUGGCUUAACCAUAGUACGCUUUGGAAACUGUUUAACUUGAGUGCAGAAGGGGAGAGUGGAAUUCCAUGUGUAGCGGUGAAAUGCGUAGAUAUAUGGAGGAACACCGGUGGCGAAAGCGGCUCUCUGGUCUGUAACUGACGCUGACGCUCGAAAGCGUGGUAGCGAACAGG
rnacentral:rRNA from 1 species